UUGGCUCAACUUCAACUUUCAUUAACCAAUUUGUGGUAACGAGAUUACAACCUCACAAGAUUUUCACCCCACAUACAAUAUCGAGAUCUAGUACCACCCAGGAACACUUACAAGGAUCCUACGCUACCCGAAUCAAUCCGAUAUUGCAUUUUUCACCACUACGAGAACAAGAACAUCCCACUACCCGGAAUGAACCGUCUCU
rnacentral:lncRNA from 1 species